AUUGUGAGUUCGAUGAGUAGGGCGGGACACGUGUUAUCCUGUCUGAAUAUGGGGGGACCAUCCUCCAAGGCUAAAUACUCCUGACUGACCGAUAGUGAACCAGUACCGUGAGGGAAAGGCGAAAAGAACCCCGGCGAGGGGAGUGAAAUAGAACCUGAAACCGUGUACGUACAAGCAGUGGGAGCCUUGAUUUAUCAGGGUGACUGCGUACCUUUUGUAUAAUGGGUCAGCGACUUAUAUUUUGUAGCAAGGUUAACCGCAUAGGGGAGCCGUAGGGAAACCGAGUCUUAACUGGGCGUCAAGUUGCAAGGUAUAGACCCGAAACCCGGUGAUCUAGCCAUGGGCAGGUUGAAGGUUGGGUAACACUAACUGGAGGACCGAACCGACUAAUGUUGAAAAAUUAGCGGAUGACUUGUGGCUGGGGGUGAAAGGCCAAUCAAACCGGGAGAUAGCUGGUUCUCCCCGAAAGCUAUUUAGGUAGCGCCUCGUGAACUCAUCUUCGGGGGUAGAGCACUGUUUCGGCUAGGGGGCCACCCCGGCUUACCAAACCGAUGCAAACUGCGAAUACCGAAGAAUGUUAUCACGGGAGACACACGGCGGGUGCUAACGUCCGUCGUGAAGAGGGAAACAACCCAGACCGCCAGCUAAGGUCCCAAAGUCAUGGUUAAGUGGGAAACGAUGUGGGAAGGCAUAGACAGCCAGGAUGUUGGCUUAGAAGCAGCCAUCAUUUAAAGAAAGCGUAAUAGCUCACUGGUCGAGUCGGCCUGCGCGGAAGAUGUAACGGGGCUAAACCAUGCACCGAAGCUGCGGCAGCGACGCUUAGGCGUUGUUGGGUAGGGGAGCGUUCUGUAAGCCGUUGAAGGUGGCCUGUGAGGGUUGCUGGAGGUAUCAGAAGUGCGAAUGCUGACAUAAGUAACGAUAAUGCGGGUGAAAAACCCGCACGCCGGAAGACCAAGGGUUCCUGUCCAACGUUAAUCGGGGCAGGGUGAGUCGACUCCUAAGGCGAGGCUGAAAAGCGUAGUCGAUGGGAAACAGGUUAAUAUUCCUGUACUUGGUGUUACUGCGAAGGGGGGACGGAGAAGGCUAGGCUGGCCGGGCGACGGUUGUCCCGGUUUAAGCGUGUAGGGGUGU
rnacentral:rRNA from 1 species